rnacentral:lncRNA from 1 species
ACAGGUGCAGCAGUUCCAGGACGUGGCCACCCGUCUGCAGACAGCAUAUGCUGGGGAGAAGGCAGAGGCCAUCCAGAACAAGGAGCAGGAGGUGUCUGCCGCGUGGCAGGCGCUGCUCGAUGCCUGUGCCGGGCGCCGGACCCAGCUAGUGGACACGGCGGAUAAAUUCCGCUUCUUCAGCAUGGCCCGUGACCUCCUCUCCUGGAUGGAGAGCAUCAUCCGGCAGAUCGAGACCCAGGAGAGGCCCAGGGAUGUCUCCUCUGUGGAACUGCUCAUGAAGUAUCACCAGGGCAUCAAUGCAGAGAUUGAAACCCGGAGCAAGAACUUCAGUGCCUGCCUGGAGCUUGGCGAGUCCCUGCUGCAGCGGCAGCACCAGGCCUCAGAGGAGG